UACGAAGGGGGCUAGCGUUGCUCGGAAUUACUGGGCGUAAAGGGAGCGUAGGCGGACAUUUAAGUCAGGGGUGAAAGCCCGGGGCUCAACCUCGGAAUUGCCUUUGAUACUGGGUGUCUUGAGUAUGAGAGAGGUAUGUGGAACUCCGAGUGUAGAGGUGAAAUUCGUAGAUAUUCGGAAGAACACCAGUGGCGAAGGCGACAUACUGGCUCAUUACUGACGCUGAGGCUCGAAAGCGUGGGGAGCAAACAGG
rnacentral:rRNA from 1 species